rnacentral:rRNA from 1 species
GACGAACGCUGGCGGCGUGCUUAACACAUGCAAGUCGAACGGAAAGGCCCUGCUCUUGUGGGGUGCUCGAGUGGCGAACGGGUGAGUAACACGUGAGUAACCUGCCCUUGACUUUGGGAUAACUUCAGGAAACUGGGGCUAAUACCGGAUAGGAGCUCCUGCUGCAUGGUGGGGGUUGGAAAGUUUCGGCGGUUGGGGAUGGACUCGCGGCUUAUCAGCUUGUUGGUGGGGUAGUGGCUUACCAAGGCUUUGACGGGUAGCCGGCCUGAGAGGGUGACCGGCCACAUUGGGACUGAGACACGGCCCAGACUCCUACGGGAGGCAGCAGUGGGGAAUAUUGCACAAUGGGCGGAAGCCUGAUGCAGCAACGCCGCGUGCGGGAUGACGGCCUUCGGGUUGUAAACCGCUUUCGCCUGUGACGAAGCGUGAGUGACGGUAAUGGGUAAAGAAGCACCGGCUAACUACGUG